ACUCCAUGAAGUCGGAAUCGCUAGUAAUCGUAGAUCAGAAUGCUACGGUGAAUACGUUCCCGGGCCUUGUACACACCGCCCGUCACACCAUGGGAGUGGGUUGCAAAAGAAGUAGGUAGCUUAACCUUCGGGAGGGCGCUUACCACUUUGUGAUUCAUGACUGGGGUGAAGUCGUAACAAGGUAACCG
rnacentral:rRNA from 1 species